AUUGAACGCUGGCGGCAGGCCUAACACAUGCAAGUCGAGCGAGCGGCGGACGGGUGAGUGAUGUCUGGGAAACUGCCUGAUGGAGGGGGAUAACUACUGGAAACGGUAGCUAAUACCGCAUACCAUCAGAUGUGCCCAGAUGGGAUUAGCUAGUAGGUGGGGUAACGGCUUACCAAGGCAACGAUGCAUAGACGACCUGAGAGGGUGAUCGGCCACACUGGAACUGAGACACGGUCCAGACUCCUACGGGAGGCAGCAGUGGGGAAUAUUGCACAAUGGGCGCAAGCCUGAUGCAGCCAUGCCGCGUGUAUGAAGAAGGCCUUCGGGUUGUAAAGUACUUUCAGCGGGGAGGCGUUACCCGCAGAAGAAGCACCGGCUAACUCCGUGCCAGCAGCCGCGGUAAUUC
rnacentral:rRNA from 1 species